rnacentral:tRNA from 1 species
AAAGAAAUAGCAUAAAAAAGCUUCUAACUUUUUACAAAGCAUUAAUUUGU